rnacentral:rRNA from 1 species
AGAGUUUGAUCCUGGCUCAGAUUGAACGCUGGCGGCAGGCCUAACACAUGCAAGUCGAACGGUAACAGAAAGCAGCUUGCUGCUUUGCUGACGAGUGGCGGACGGGUGAGUAAUGUCUGGGAAACUGCCUGAUGGAGGGGGAUGACUACUGGAAACGGUAGCUAAUACCGCAUAACGUCGCAAGACCAAAGAGGGGGACCUUCGGGCCUCUUGCCAUCGGAUGUGCCCAGAUGGGAUUAGCUAGUAGGUGAGGUAACGGCUCACCAAGGCGACGAUACAUAGCCGACCUGAGAGGGUGAUCGGCCACACUGGGACUGAGACACGGCCCAGACUCCUACGGGAGGCAGCAGUAGGGAAUCUUCGGCAAUGGGGGCAACCCUGACCGAGCAACGCCGCGUGAGUGAAGAAGGUUUUCGGAUCGUAAAGCUCUGUUGUAAGAGAAGAACGUGUGUGAGAGUGGAAAGUUCACACAGUGACGGUAACUUACCAGAAAGGGACGGCUAACUACGUGCCAGCAGCCGCGGUAAUACGUAGGUCCCGAGCGUUGUCCGGAUUUAUUGGGCGUAAAGCGAGCGCAGGCGGUUUAAUAAGUCUGAAGUUAAAGGCAGUGGCUUAACCAUUGUUCGCUUUGGAAACUGUUAGACUUGAGUGCAGAAGGGGAGAGUGGAAUUCCAUGUGUAGCGGUGAAAUGCGUAGAUAUAUGGAGGAACACCGGUGGCGAAAGCGGCUCUCUGGUCUGUAACUGACGCUGAGGCUCGAAAGCGUGGGGAGCAAACAGGAUUAGAUACCCUGGUAGUCCACGCCGUAAACGAUGAGUGCUAGGUGUUAGGCCCUUUCCGGGGCUUAGUGCCGCAGCUAACGCAUUAAGCACUCCGCCUGGGGAGUACGACCGCAAGGUUGAAACUCAAAGGAAUUGACGGGGGCCCGCACAAGCGGUGGAACCAUGUGGUUUAAUUCGAAGCAACGCGAAGAACCUUACCAGGUCUUGACAUCCCGAUGCUAUUCCUAGAGAUAGGAAGUUUCUUCGGAACAUCGGUGACAGGUGGUGCAUGGUUGUCGUCAGCUCGUGUCGUGAGAUGUUGGGUUAAGUCCCGCAACGAGCGCAACCCCUAUUGUUAGUUGCCAUCAUUAAGUUGGGCACUCUAGCGAGACUGCCGGUAAUAAACCGGAGGAAGGUGGGGAUGACGUCAAAUCAUCAUGCCCCUUAUGACCUGGGCUACACACGUGCUACAAUGGUUGGUACAACGAGUCGCGAGUCGGUGACGGCAAGCAAAUCUCUUAAAGCCAAUCUCAGUUCGGAUUGUAGGCUGCAACUCGCCUACAUGAAGUCGGAAUCGCUAGUAAUCGCGGAUCAGCACGCCGCGGUGAAUACGUUCCCGGGCCUUGCACACACCGCCCGUC